GAUGAACGCUGGCGGCGUGCCUAAUACAUGCAAGUCGAGCGAACAGACGAGGAGCUUGCUCCUCUGACGUUAGCGGCGGACGGGUGAGUAACACGUGGAUAACCUACCUAUAAGACUGGGAUAACUUCGGGAAACCGGAGCUAAUACCGGAUAAUAUAUUGAACCGCAUGGUUCAAUAGUGAAAGACGGUUUUGCUGUCACUUAUAGAUGGAUCCGCGCCGCAUUAGCUAGUUGGUAAGGUAACGGCUUACCAAGGCAACGAUGCGUAGCCGACCUGAGAGGGUGAUCGGCCACACUGGAACUGAGACACGGUCCAGACUCCUACGGGAGGCAGCAGUAGGGAAUCUUCCGCAAUGGGCGAAAGCCUGACGGAGCAACGCCGCGUGUGUGAUGAAGGUCUUCGGAUCGUAAAACUCUGUUAUUAGGGAAGAACAAAUGUGUAAGUAACUAUGCACGUAUUGACGGUACCUGCUCAGAAAGCCCCGGCUAACUACGUG
rnacentral:rRNA from 1 species